AUGACUUUGAUCUGCGUCCUCAUCUGGACUCUCCUCUGCUUCACUCAGGGAUCUGAUGGACAAAAUAUUGUUGUGACUCAAUCAGCAGCCAAAUCAGUGCAGCUUGGUCAGACUGUCACUAUUGACUGUAAGGCCAGUAGACAAGUUAAUCAGUACUCUGGUCCGCAGUACUACCUUGCCUGGUACCAUCAGAAAAAUGGAGAAGCUCCUAAAGCUCUGAUCUACAGAACAUCAUCCAGAUUUUCAGGAAUCUCCUCCAGAUUCAGUGGAAGUGGAGCAAGAAAUGGAUUAGACUUCACUCUGACCAUCAGUGGAGUUCAGGCUGAAGAUGCAGGAGUUUAUUACUGUCAGAGUUAUCACAGUGGCCCCGUGUUCACACAGUGAAAAAUCAUCGUACAAAAACCUCCCUCAGUCUGACUGAACAGAAACUAAACUUUGUUCUGCAGCUGGAAUCUGCAUCAGACACUGAUACAGUUCACUGAACACAUCAGGCCAGAAAUUAUAUUUCCAUUAAACACAAGAACACAUUCAGUUAUGAUAUUCAGUUAUUACAUUUUAAAAUAUUAUUUCAUUUAUAUUUUUAGAUGUUUGACACCUUAUUCUCUAAUUAAGUAAUGAAGUAACUUUGACUUUAGAAAGGUUUAAAAAUAUUUUCCAUGUUUUAUUUUUAAACAAUCAUACAUGAAGUCAAGGAAAACCAUUGGUAAUAACACCAAAAUAUAUUUUAAUGAUUGUUAAACACAUUACAGGAUUUAUUCUCAUAAGCACAUGUAGGAAGACAGGAAAAACAAUCCAUGAGGCUCUUUAAUGUUAGGUUAGCCUUGUUUAAAAUGAUUUGCUAAGUUUGCCAUUACUGUUGGAAAAUAAUUCAUAUCUAAAUCAAUAUUAAUGCUUGAUAAUGGAUUUAUUUUUAGAGCCUGGAUCUUACUACUGCCAGAUGACUAGAACCAACAAUUUUUGAAUACUUGGUUUUAAAGGUUCUUCCUGAUUAUUGCCACAAACAGAAAUACAACAAGCUGAGAUGUGGUGUCAAGUCUCUUUCUUUGAAUUAACAAAUAGAGACAUAAACAGUUUGUCAGGUAUGGAUGAUAGAAAAAUAUGAAAACAUUUUCUCUGAAUUAUCAAAUGACAACAAGUAUGUGACAUUAGUGAGGUU